CGGCCGAAUAAGUAAAAAGGCCAAAUAAAUUUUGCCGAACAAUGACGUUUUUAAUGACGCAAUCAAAUAACCCGCGUAGAGUGAGAGGCGCGCGCUUUAUGGAGCAAACAUGUCAGCAGUGUGGAAGCACUUUAAAGUGUCAGAGAAAGAGGCAAAAACGGCCGUUUGCAGACAUUGUUCUGCAGAAUUGUCCAGAGGGGGUGCAUCUGCAAAAACGUACAGCACUUCAAGUUUAAUUUAUCACUUAAAAUCAAGACACCCCGAACAUCAUGCAGAGUACGAGAAAGACACGGCGGCGGCUACGGCAACAGCAGCAGCGAAAAGAAAAGCAGCUCCCAGUCCUACGACACCCACUCCAUCUGUGGCUGACUUCUUAGAAAAGGCAAAAAAGUUUGCCAAUGACAGUGCCAAAGCUAAAGGUAUUACUAAAAGGAUAAUGGAAUUCAUCGCAUUGGAUGAUCAACCAUUCUCUGUUGUAGAGGAUGUUGGAUUUCGCAGGCUUAUAGACCAUAUUGAGCCCCGUUACACCAUCCCUAGUAGACGGCAUUUCUCAGACGUGUGCUUACCUGAGAUGUAUAACGUCGUUUCAACUAACGUCCAUGAGCUUUUGGCUACAGAUAUUGCAGCCCUCAGCUUCACGACUGAUAUUUGGAGCUCGGAUGUGAGCCCCACUAGUAUGCUGAGUUUAACUGCGCAGUGGAUCGACACAGAUUUCAAGCUACAAAAGAUUGUGCUUCACUCACAAGAAUUUAGAGGGUCCCAUACAGCUGUAGCCAUAUCCGAGGCGUUCGCCAACAUGUUUGACACUUGGCGUAUUGACCGAUCUAAAGUGCACGCGGUAGUCAGUGACAACGCAAGAAAUAUGGCUAAAGCCAUGGAAGAUAGCAAUCUGAAAGGCAUACGGUGUAUGGCACACACAAUUCAACUGGCGGUCAACGAGGGAUUGUUGAGUCAGCGCAGUAUAGCAGAUGUGAUAGCUAUAGGCAGGAAAAUUGUUGGCCAUUUUAAACAUUCACCGCUUGCCUAUGCGCGCCUACAAUCUAUCCAAGAACAGUUCGGAAUGCCACAAAAACGUUUCCAACAAGAUGUGAGCACAAGGUGGAACAGUACAUAUUAUAUGCUGGAAAGCCUUUUUGCGCAAAAGCGAGUCUUGGCUACAUACAUAGCAGAUCAUGACCUGCCAGCGACAUUCACCGCAUACCAGUGGGUGUUAAUCGAGAACGUUCUCUCUCUUCUCGCCCCCUUUGAGCAGAUAACAAAAGAGAUAAGCUCAUCUGAUGCAUCUGUGGCAGACGUCAUACCCUUACUUGCAGCACUAAAGCGUCUUUUAAACAAAGAGGCUGAAACAGACCACGGAGUGAAAACAACUAAAAGUGCGCUCUUAGAAGCUGUCAGCACAUGAUUUAGUCAGGCGGACUCAGAACCCCUAUACUGCAUCGCGACUGUGCUUGAUCCACGAUACAAAGAUCAUUACUUGGAUGUGGGGAAAAAGAUGCGCACACGAGAAAUGAUCCAGGCCGAGUUGGAUUUGGGAAAGCCGCUAGGUGAUGGAGACGGUCAGGUGAUGCACAGCGCAGGAGAUGAAAACAGCGCAGAGAGUAAACGGGCUCGUACUACAGAUGAGCCGCGCACAGUCUCGCUGUCUGACAUGUUCGAUGAGAUCCUCCAAGAGAAUAACCCAUUUGCAAGACAGAUGACAAGCUCGACCGCUCAACAGUUAGAUGGGUAUCUCUCAGAAGUCCCCAUCCCCAGGAGCAAUAACCCUCUCGAGUUUUGGAGGACCAAUCAAGGCCGCUUUCCCGACCUGGCGCAGAUGGCACGCAGGUACUUGUCUGCCCCAUGCACAAGCACCGACAGUGAGAGACUGUUUAGUGCUGCAUGUCAUGUCAUCGAUGAGAAGAGGAACCGACUUUCAUGUGAGAAAGCAGAGAAGCUACUUUUCAUAAAGAAGAACCUGCCACUUUUCCUGAAGAAGUAGGCUAAGUAGGCUUAUGUCUAGGACAGUUAUUCAUUUGUUGUGGGUUCAUCAACAUUUUUUGCACUAUUCAAUGCACAUGUGUUGUUGUAGACAUACAGAGUUACAUUCAGCAGUCAGUUAUAGGCCUAACAUAGGCUAUUAAAGAAGGGGGGCUUCAAAGAUGGCUUUU